GUGUCAGCCGCCGCGGUAAUACGUAGGGUGCGAGCGUUAAUCGGAAUUACUGGGCGUAAAGUGUGCGCAGGCGGCAAAGCAAGUCGAGUGUGAAAGCCCCGGGCUUAACUUGGGAAUUGCGCUCGAAACUAUUUUGCUGGAGUGUGGCAGAGGAAGGUGGAAUUCCACGUGUAGCGGUGAAAUGCGUAGAGAUGUGGAGGAACACCAAUGGCGAAGGCAGCCUUCUGGGCCAACACUGACGCUCAUGCACGAAAGCGUGGGGAGCAAACAGGAUUAGAUACCCUGGUAGUCCACGCCCUAAACGAUGACGACUAGUUGUUGGAGGAGUUAAAUCCUUUAGUAACGCAGCUAACGCGCGAAGUCGUCCGCCUGGGGAGUACGGUCGCAAGAUUAAA
rnacentral:rRNA from 1 species